rnacentral:rRNA from 1 species
UAUUAGCUCUAGAAUUACUACUUGGAUAACCGUAGUAAUUCUAGAGCUAAUACAUGCAUCAACUCCCAACUGCUUCGGCGGACGGGAUGUAUUUAUUAGAUGGAAACCAAUACCGAGUUUUCUCGGUUUUUGUGGUGAAUCAUAGUAACUGUGCGAAUCGACUUCGGUCGAUGGUUCAUUCAAGUUUCUGCCCUAUCAGCUUUGGAUGGUAGGGUAUUGGCCUACCAUGGCUUUAACGGGUAACGGAGAAUUGGGGUUCGAUUCCGGAGAGGGAGCCUGAGAAACGGCUACCACAUCCAAGGAAGGCAGCAGGCGCGUAAAUUAC